GUGAGGAAUUUUCCGCAAUGGGCGAAAGCCUGACGGAGCAAUGCCGCGUGAAGGAUGAAGGCCUAUGGGUUGUAAACUUCUUUUCUCAGAAAAGAAUUAUGACGGUAUCUGAGGAAUAAGCAUCGGCUAACUCUGUGCCAGCAGCCGCGGUAAGACAGAGGAUGCAAGCGUUAUCCGGAAUGAUUGGGCGUAAAGCGUCUGUAGGUUGUUUAAAAAGUAUUCUGUCAAAGAUUAGGGCUUAACCCUAGAUAGGCAGAAUAAACUUUUAAGCUAGAGUUUGGUAGAGGCAGAGGGAAGUCACGGUGGAGCGGUGAAAUGCGUAGAUAUCGGGAGGAACACCAAAGGCGAAGGCACUCUGCUGGGCCAAUACUAACACUGAGAGACGAAAGAGAGGGGAGCAAAUGAGAUUAGAAACCCCUGUAGUCC
rnacentral:rRNA from 1 species